UCAUAUCCAUACUUUACAUAUGAGGUAACUGAGGCAAAGAGACGUUAAAGGACCUUCUCAGAUGGACGAGCUAGUGAGCAUGCCACCCCCACCCCACCCUCCACAGCAUAGUUGGCGCUGUCUGAAUGAUGAGAAAUUUAGAGACAUAAAAGGUUCCAAAUGACUGAGUUGGGGAAGGACACUGAGUUAUAUCCAGGCCUCCCACAGGGUCCCUCCUCUGGCAGCAGCCUGCCCGGUCUCCUCCAGGAUUCUACAAACUGGACCCAGACCCUCCACGGCCGAGUGUGGUCAGCACUCCCCUUUGCUGCACCCUCAUCUCGAGUCAAACAGAACCUGAACACUUGAAAAGAAAGAAGCACAAAGAAGUAAAAGAAAAAACUCCCACAUAUUUCCACCAGUAAAGUAGAACUACUACGGAGA